rnacentral:misc_RNA from 1 species
CUGAGUAAAAUGGGUCUUUAUGGCUCAUAACUCCCACCCUUUGUGUACCUUACCAAAUUUUAAAAGUUGCCUUGGUAGGAACCUACCUCUCUAAUCCAGGGGCAGGCCUACCAUUGGAACUCUUUUUUAAACUCUUAUCAAUUGAGUCGUCUGAGAAAUAAAUUCAAAUGAAUUA